AAGCUAUUGAACCAAUUAAUAGAUUUAAAACUUAUUUUUACAUAUAGAUAGAUGUAAUUGAAAUAUAUCAAGAAAUUUUUCGAUGCAUUUAGCACAUAAAAUCCUCCAAAAAAUAAGGAAAACAGUUAAAUAAUAUAACAUGAAGGAUUCAACAAAAACAACCAACAAGGAACAUCACAUUAUUCUUGGAUAACGGCAAUAAUUGUAUCAUUACUGAUUAUCAUCAGUUCUUCAUGGCGCAUCUCUCUAUGCAGGUAUUGACGCAGCCGACAACUUCCUUUGAAGCUGACAAAAACAAAACAAAUCAUUAAGUUAAUAUACGUACUUACUUACCAUCAAAUAUUAAUAUAAAACGGAAAAAGAAAAAUUACCAGGCAUCCUCCCUUGGCUGCUUAGCAUUGAACAUGUCAUGGCAGCACACCCAACAGUGCAGAAUACGGAGCUGCUCGCGAGGUGGGUUUCCUCCAAUGUCUCCACCAGUGCUUCUGACGGCAGGCAGCGUUGAAUACAUUCCCCAAGGGAAGUUCCGUUGGCGACGCAAGUCGUUACGCAAAAAGUAUACCCAAGUCCAAUCGGGACAAGUGCUGUAACAGCUUGACGCGAGGGACUAACAAGGAUCAACAACAGCAAACAGAACAUCAACGCCAAUGAUUUCCCCCCCAUUAUGUAUAUAUUUGAUUUGAUUUGAUAAUGAUUUUUUUGCACUGCUUGAUAUCGGUGUUAUAUACACUUUGAUUGUCAUGCCAAACUACCAAACUGCCUAAUUAAGAUGCCAAACUAUAAUGCCAAAAUUUGAUUGAAUGCAAAAUUAAAAGAACAUUUCUAUAAGUAAUCAAAAUAAUUUGAAAUGAAUUUGUCAUGCCAAACUACAUGGAAAAUGUCUAAUGUCUUGUCCUUUUUUUAGAAUUCUUCCUAAUAAUCUAAAUUCUUCCUAACCAUCCCAAAUAUUCUGAUUGUCAAUGUUCUUUCUCAGAUGUCAUGAAUCACAAAUGAACACUAAACCUUUAACUUCAUAUUUUAAACAUUAACAUCGAAGUAAACACUUAAACCGUGCAAAUAAAAUCUUGAUUCUCACCUUCACAGUGACUGUAUCCAUCUCCUUUGAUUUGCUCGCUAUCAACCAAGAGACAUUCACAAACUCUUCCUCGAAAUGUAUCUUAAGAAGAAAAUCAAUAUAUUCAAAUAAGCUCAUGGAGUAGAGAAUCCCUAUCAAAUCUGUUUCGAUUCAUACCCUGCAGGCUGUGAGAUUUGCUGCUUUUUCUUGCCAACAACCACCAUCAUUUUCCAAGCAUUCAUUCGUCUCCACAUCUGUGAAAAAAGUAACCGCCAUCACUGGUGUUUCAAAUAACAACUGGACAGUAAGUUGAAACACUACACUGGAUUUCUAAAAGCCUAGCUCUCGCCUAUGUUACUUAGUGUGAGAGUUGGAUAAGACAUAUGUCUGACAUGGACAUGUGCAAGUUGUUCUUCAUUUUCCCUGUAUUCAGAGUGUUUUUGGAGGGUCACAUCCCCAUACUCGUCUAUGAAAACGUGUCAGACACGGGUUCUCAAGAGAGGUAAAGAGUCAGCACCCCUAAGUGGAACCAGACUAAAAUACUUCUCUUGCAAGAAAAAUAAAACAAGACAAACUCACCACCACUCGAACAAACAGCUGGUUCAGUAGUCUCCUCGAAGCCGGCACAUAUGGCCUUCAAAACAGCACCUUUGGCCAGCUUUCCUGCAUGCAGAUAUGUUAAACGCGGAAAGCACCCAAAAUUUUAUCUGGGAAAUACGGGUAUAAAUACGAACCUCGAUAUUGGCGAUUGUUGACAACAAGUCUAGGCAAUAUGGUAACAUCUCCUCUAGAUCCUUUCCCCGCCUAUGAAAAUGUUUCUAUUAAAUAGCCUCAAAAAGGUCAAAGAAGACAACGAAUUGGAAAAAGAGUAGUGAAACAUAAAAUAUCUUAGCCUGAGAGGACUACUUGAGCAUCUUGUUCUUCUUCCAGAACAGGAUUCUCCAUAUCAGCAUCUGGAUCUCCCAAACACUUUUCGAUCUUUUUAGCGUCAAGCCCUGAAUGGAUGACAAAGGAAUAUCAUCAAUUUAUUACUAGUUUCCAGCAAGAUUUUGAGUUUUCACUGUGCUAUUAAUACUAACAGAAAUUUGAAGAUAAACCGAGGAUCUUCCAAUUAACUGUUUACCAAGAGAUUUGAUAACACCGUCUGCACAUUCCUUAUUAUAUCUUUUCUACUUCAUUGGCCAUCUUAUUUCAAAAUCAGUCACAUAGUCCCACCACACCCAAGGCCUAUUGGUCUCAUUUGCCACUUUGAAAACGCAAAGCUGCCUUAAGGUCUCAAUAACUACAUCUUUCCCUUCAUAACCUGAGCUAAAACCUUGUUCAGGAUCCGGUGCACAGUAUCUUCCGCGGUUGAUGCAUUGAGAUAUGCACUGCCGGCUUAGGGUGAAAGCUUGAGGGCAGUACCAAGUUAUAUAAUGGGGUGUGAACUGCGUAUAGCCACCUUUUUCGAGAAUCUUAGCAGCACCCUUGAAAUCCUUCACAAAUGCCAUCAGCAUAUCGCAUUUAACUCCACAUUCAUCAUUGCUCUUGGUCCAUAACUCGUACUCGUCACGAUCAUCAGGGUUAGAGUUUCACCAGAAGUUUUCUCGAUAAGGGCAGAUGAACUGUCCUCUUCGCGAUUGUCCCUGGUUAUUAAUGCUUCUUCUAUGUCAUCCGCAACAAGCACUGCAGAAGCACUGCUUGCCAUACAUUCCAAAUCUUUAAAGCAAAGAAGCAAUCUGGAGAAAUAAUAAGAAAAAAGGCGCUAAAUGCAGUCUCCGCAAAUAUAUAUAUAUAUCAAAAACUAAAGAAAAAUUACAUCUAAGACCAUAACUCAAUCAAGGACAAUAAGCAAAUUUUACAACCUUGGCAGCAACUGGAGUCCGUAUAUAGGCAACACUUCAGAUUUUUCUCAUCUCUUUAACAGUGUAAUCACAUUAUAGUAAUGUAACUGAAUUAUCUAAUCCGGAAGUAACUAUAAGCCAUUACUACCUAAUGCUUAGAUCAACCAGCAUUCUGAACCUCAUUUUUAUCACCAUACAUCUGUUUGAGAACCAACCAAACUCAAAUCGUACACUCUAAAUCUAUGUUCACUCGGACUCGGGUAUGAGUUUCAAAUGUAGGCACAUGUUUGAGACGGAUAUGUUAGUUUUGGUUUUUCAUGUAUCUGGAGGAUCUUUGAAAAGUCAUGUGUCGCCCAUAUGCAUGUUCGGAUAUUGAGUCUAGAACGGGUACUUCAGACGGAUAUCCAGAGGAUCAUUAACAGCAUAAUCGCGUUGCAGUAAUGUAACUGAAUUAUCUAAUCCGGAGGUAACUAUAAGCCAUUACUACGAAAUGCUUAGAUCACCAUUAUUUUGAAACUCGUUUUUAUUAUCAUCCAUCUGUUUAAGAACCAACCAAACUCAAAUCAUACACUCUAAAUCUCUGUUUACUCCGACUUGGGUAUGAGUUUCAAAUAAAGGUAUGUGUUUGACACUGAUAUAUUCAAUUUUUCUUCAUGUACCUAGGGGAUCUUUGAGAAGACAUAUCACCGCACACAUGUUCAGAUAUUGAGUCCAAAACCGGUACUUCAAGCAAAACUGAGACUCAGAGAAACUUAGCUCUAAACCACUUUAUCCAUACUGGAGAAAACUAUACGCCAUUACUACGAAAUUCUUAGAUAACCAGCAUUUUGAAAUUCAUUUUUAUUAUCAUACAUCUGCCUUGAGAACCAACCCAACCCAAAGCAUAUAUGUUCACUUGGACUCUGGGUGUGAGUUUCAAAUACAGGUAUGUGUUUGACACGGAUAUAUUCAAAUUUUUGUUCAUGUACCUAGAAGGAUCUUUGAAAAAUCAGAUCACCGUACACAUGUUCGGAUAUUGAGUCUAAAACUGGUACUUAAAGCAAAACCAAGAAUCUGAGAAACUUAGCUCUACUUUUGUAGACACCUCUAAGGCUACAUCCCUAUGAAAGGAGGGAAAUGAAGCUAAAUGAAUGGACCUAAUUUCAGAAAACAACUAGUAAGAUAAAAAGAGAGAAAGACAUCCGUCCAAACAACUUAAAGCAAAGCUGAAAACAAGUAAAUUAAUUCAUAAAUGAACGGAUAAAUAUAUAAAUAAUGAUAAUGAAAUCAAUGGAAACUGAUAAACCUAAAUUUAUUUAAAUGAAUUAGUUAAAAUAUAAUAACAUAAAUCCAAGUAGAUGGAAAAACCAAAUCUAUUAACCCUCAAAUCCCAAACUAUCAAAUAGAUUAUUGCCCCAUAAAUAAACCAAAUCCAACAAAUUGAACUUUAAACCUACUAUUUAAAUUCCCCAAUUUGGAAUUACUCAAAUUAGCUAAAACAACACAAAAAUUCCUCAUUGAUCAACCCUACAACAAACAAAUUAUAGCUCAAAUAAACAAAACCAUAGAUUAAUUUUUCUUAGAAGGCGAAAAUUUUGAAAAAAAGAAGAAGAAAAGUGUACCUCCACGAUCGACCAGAACAUAGGUAGGAAGAGAACCAGGCUUGGAUAUAACCGAAAUCCCAAAGUCAUCAAAACCUUUACAAGCUUUUCGGUUUUCUUCAGGGUAAACCACAACACCAGCCAUGCUUCCACCACAUUGAGGUAUCCCAAAGUUCCCAAUCGCACUAUCAUGGGUUGCUUUAAUCUUCUCCGGCGAUGUUACCGCCAAGCUCUUCUUUUCCACCACGAAUCUCGCGUAACAAUUGCGUAUCAAAGAUAAUAAAAUAAACACUUGAGGAAGAUGAUGAUGAUGGAAUGUUCGUAGCUCCAUAUCUUUACUUUUGGUUUUGGAUUUGGAUUGGAUCAGUUUUAAGGACGAUACUGAUGAAGAAGAUGAAGAUCGUGUAUGAAAAACAUGUAAAAUGAAAUGGUUUUUUUGAAAAAAAUAAAAACAGUGAAAAUCGCCAUUAAAUAAUUCUAUGAUUCUUUUAUUUGUUUUAAAUGAAUUUAGAACACAGUUAGUGAAAUUUUGACACGCUACUAAUAAAUAAUCUUAGUCAUUUAUAGAUUAAACAUUUUUCUUUUUUUUAAACAGUGCAAUGAGACCAAAUCCAGUCAUCUGAAGUAAACUUAAUGGGUUUAUGUUUUUCUUAGCCCCUAAAUUUUCACCUACCGUUUAAUUUAGUACAUGUUAAAAAAAAUCCAAUUUAGUCAUUUGUAUUAUACGUGACGGUCUUCUACAUAUACGAAGUCGUUUAAGUUUCGUUCCGGUGAAGAUUUCAAUAUGCUUAGCAUGUUCCAAAGUCCUUUGGCCCAUUCUAGCCAGUAUCGGCCCGUAUCAAUUGGUACAAAAUUUUGAUAUUUAAACUUAUCUUUUAAUUUUUUAUCUUAAACAUUUUAACUUUUUAUAACUACGUUUAAAAUUAAAAUAAACUGAAGCUAUUGAACCAAUUAAUAGAUUUAAAACUUAUUUUUACAUAUAGAUAGAUGUAAUUGAAAUAUAUCAAGAAAUUUUUCGAUGCAUUUAGCACAUAAAAUCCUCCAAAAAAUAAGGAAAACAGUUAAAUAAUAUAACAUGAAGGAUUCAACAAAAACAACCAACAAGGAACAUCACAUUAUUCUUGGAUAACGGCAAUAAUUGUAUCAUUACUGAUUAUCAUCAGUUCUUCAUGGCGCAUCUCUCUAUGCAGGUAUUGACGCAGCCGACAACUUCCUUUGAAGCUGACAAAAACAAAACAAAUCAUUAAGUUAAUAUACGUACUUACUUACCAUCAAAUAUUAAUAUAAAACGGAAAAAGAAAAAUUACCAGGCAUCCUCCCUUGGCUGCUUAGCAUUGAACAUGUCAUGGCAGCACACCCAACAGUGCAGAAUACGGAGCUGCUCGCGAGGUGGGUUUCCUCCAAUGUCUCCACCAGUGCUUCUGACGGCAGGCAGCGUUGAAUACAUUCCCCAAGGGAAGUUCCGUUGGCGACGCAAGUCGUUACGCAAAAAGUAUACCCAAGUCCAAUCGGGACAAGUGCUGUAACAGCUUGACGCGAGGGACUAACAAGGAUCAACAACAGCAAACAGAACAUCAACGCCAAUGAUUUCCCCCCCAUUAUGUAUAUAUUUGAUUUGAUUUGAUAAUGAUUUUUUUGCACUGCUUGAUAUCGGUGUUAUAUACACUUUGAUUGUCAUGCCAAACUACCAAACUGCCUAAUUAAGAUGCCAAACUAUAAUGCCAAAAUUUGAUUGAAUGCAAAAUUAAAAGAACAUUUCUAUAAGUAAUCAAAAUAAUUUGAAAUGAAUUUGUCAUGCCAAACUACAUGGAAAAUGUCUAAUGUCUUGUCCUUUUUUUAGAAUUCUUCCUAAUAAUCUAAAUUCUUCCUAACCAUCCCAAAUAUUCUGAUUGUCAAUGUUCUUUCUCAGAUGUCAUGAAUCACAAAUGAACACUAAACCUUUAACUUCAUAUUUUAAACAUUAACAUCGAAGUAAACACUUAAACCGUGCAAAUAAAAUCUUGAUUCUCACCUUCACAGUGACUGUAUCCAUCUCCUUUGAUUUGCUCGCUAUCAACCAAGAGACAUUCACAAACUCUUCCUCGAAAUGUAUCUUAAGAAGAAAAUCAAUAUAUUCAAAUAAGCUCAUGGAGUAGAGAAUCCCUAUCAAAUCUGUUUCGAUUCAUACCCUGCAGGCUGUGAGAUUUGCUGCUUUUUCUUGCCAACAACCACCAUCAUUUUCCAAGCAUUCAUUCGUCUCCACAUCUGUGAAAAAAGUAACCGCCAUCACUGGUGUUUCAAAUAACAACUGGACAGUAAGUUGAAACACUACACUGGAUUUCUAAAAGCCUAGCUCUCGCCUAUGUUACUUAGUGUGAGAGUUGGAUAAGACAUAUGUCUGACAUGGACAUGUGCAAGUUGUUCUUCAUUUUCCCUGUAUUCAGAGUGUUUUUGGAGGGUCACAUCCCCAUACUCGUCUAUGAAAACGUGUCAGACACGGGUUCUCAAGAGAGGUAAAGAGUCAGCACCCCUAAGUGGAACCAGACUAAAAUACUUCUCUUGCAAGAAAAAUAAAACAAGACAAACUCACCACCACUCGAACAAACAGCUGGUUCAGUAGUCUCCUCGAAGCCGGCACAUAUGGCCUUCAAAACAGCACCUUUGGCCAGCUUUCCUGCAUGCAGAUAUGUUAAACGCGGAAAGCACCCAAAAUUUUAUCUGGGAAAUACGGGUAUAAAUACGAACCUCGAUAUUGGCGAUUGUUGACAACAAGUCUAGGCAAUAUGGUAACAUCUCCUCUAGAUCCUUUCCCCGCCUAUGAAAAUGUUUCUAUUAAAUAGCCUCAAAAAGGUCAAAGAAGACAACGAAUUGGAAAAAGAGUAGUGAAACAUAAAAUAUCUUAGCCUGAGAGGACUACUUGAGCAUCUUGUUCUUCUUCCAGAACAGGAUUCUCCAUAUCAGCAUCUGGAUCUCCCAAACACUUUUCGAUCUUUUUAGCGUCAAGCCCUGAAUGGAUGACAAAGGAAUAUCAUCAAUUUAUUACUAGUUUCCAGCAAGAUUUUGAGUUUUCACUGUGCUAUUAAUACUAACAGAAAUUUGAAGAUAAACCGAGGAUCUUCCAAUUAACUGUUUACCAAGAGAUUUGAUAACACCGUCUGCACAUUCCUUAUUAUAUCUUUUCUACUUCAUUGGCCAUCUUAUUUCAAAAUCAGUCACAUAGUCCCACCACACCCAAGGCCUAUUGGUCUCAUUUGCCACUUUGAAAACGCAAAGCUGCCUUAAGGUCUCAAUAACUACAUCUUUCCCUUCAUAACCUGAGCUAAAACCUUGUUCAGGAUCCGGUGCACAGUAUCUUCCGCGGUUGAUGCAUUGAGAUAUGCACUGCCGGCUUAGGGUGAAAGCUUGAGGGCAGUACCAAGUUAUAUAAUGGGGUGUGAACUGCGUAUAGCCACCUUUUUCGAGAAUCUUAGCAGCACCCUUGAAAUCCUUCACAAAUGCCAUCAGCAUAUCGCAUUUAACUCCACAUUCAUCAUUGCUCUUGGUCCAUAACUCGUACUCGUCACGAUCAUCAGGGUUAGAGUUUCACCAGAAGUUUUCUCGAUAAGGGCAGAUGAACUGUCCUCUUCGCGAUUGUCCCUGGUUAUUAAUGCUUCUUCUAUGUCAUCCGCAACAAGCACUGCAGAAGCACUGCUUGCCAUACAUUCCAAAUCUUUAAAGCAAAGAAGCAAUCUGGAGAAAUAAUAAGAAAAAAGGCGCUAAAUGCAGUCUCCGCAAAUAUAUAUAUAUAUCAAAAACUAAAGAAAAAUUACAUCUAAGACCAUAACUCAAUCAAGGACAAUAAGCAAAUUUUACAACCUUGGCAGCAACUGGAGUCCGUAUAUAGGCAACACUUCAGAUUUUUCUCAUCUCUUUAACAGUGUAAUCACAUUAUAGUAAUGUAACUGAAUUAUCUAAUCCGGAAGUAACUAUAAGCCAUUACUACCUAAUGCUUAGAUCAACCAGCAUUCUGAACCUCAUUUUUAUCACCAUACAUCUGUUUGAGAACCAACCAAACUCAAAUCGUACACUCUAAAUCUAUGUUCACUCGGACUCGGGUAUGAGUUUCAAAUGUAGGCACAUGUUUGAGACGGAUAUGUUAGUUUUGGUUUUUCAUGUAUCUGGAGGAUCUUUGAAAAGUCAUGUGUCGCCCAUAUGCAUGUUCGGAUAUUGAGUCUAGAACGGGUACUUCAGACGGAUAUCCAGAGGAUCAUUAACAGCAUAAUCGCGUUGCAGUAAUGUAACUGAAUUAUCUAAUCCGGAGGUAACUAUAAGCCAUUACUACGAAAUGCUUAGAUCACCAUUAUUUUGAAACUCGUUUUUAUUAUCAUCCAUCUGUUUAAGAACCAACCAAACUCAAAUCAUACACUCUAAAUCUCUGUUUACUCCGACUUGGGUAUGAGUUUCAAAUAAAGGUAUGUGUUUGACACUGAUAUAUUCAAUUUUUCUUCAUGUACCUAGGGGAUCUUUGAGAAGACAUAUCACCGCACACAUGUUCAGAUAUUGAGUCCAAAACCGGUACUUCAAGCAAAACUGAGACUCAGAGAAACUUAGCUCUAAACCACUUUAUCCAUACUGGAGAAAACUAUACGCCAUUACUACGAAAUUCUUAGAUAACCAGCAUUUUGAAAUUCAUUUUUAUUAUCAUACAUCUGCCUUGAGAACCAACCCAACCCAAAGCAUAUAUGUUCACUUGGACUCUGGGUGUGAGUUUCAAAUACAGGUAUGUGUUUGACACGGAUAUAUUCAAAUUUUUGUUCAUGUACCUAGAAGGAUCUUUGAAAAAUCAGAUCACCGUACACAUGUUCGGAUAUUGAGUCUAAAACUGGUACUUAAAGCAAAACCAAGAAUCUGAGAAACUUAGCUCUACUUUUGUAGACACCUCUAAGGCUACAUCCCUAUGAAAGGAGGGAAAUGAAGCUAAAUGAAUGGACCUAAUUUCAGAAAACAACUAGUAAGAUAAAAAGAGAGAAAGACAUCCGUCCAAACAACUUAAAGCAAAGCUGAAAACAAGUAAAUUAAUUCAUAAAUGAACGGAUAAAUAUAUAAAUAAUGAUAAUGAAAUCAAUGGAAACUGAUAAACCUAAAUUUAUUUAAAUGAAUUAGUUAAAAUAUAAUAACAUAAAUCCAAGUAGAUGGAAAAACCAAAUCUAUUAACCCUCAAAUCCCAAACUAUCAAAUAGAUUAUUGCCCCAUAAAUAAACCAAAUCCAACAAAUUGAACUUUAAACCUACUAUUUAAAUUCCCCAAUUUGGAAUUACUCAAAUUAGCUAAAACAACACAAAAAUUCCUCAUUGAUCAACCCUACAACAAACAAAUUAUAGCUCAAAUAAACAAAACCAUAGAUUAAUUUUUCUUAGAAGGCGAAAAUUUUGAAAAAAAGAAGAAGAAAAGUGUACCUCCACGAUCGACCAGAACAUAGGUAGGAAGAGAACCAGGCUUGGAUAUAACCGAAAUCCCAAAGUCAUCAAAACCUUUACAAGCUUUUCGGUUUUCUUCAGGGUAAACCACAACACCAGCCAUGCUUCCACCACAUUGAGGUAUCCCAAAGUUCCCAAUCGCACUAUCAUGGGUUGCUUUAAUCUUCUCCGGCGAUGUUACCGCCAAGCUCUUCUUUUCCACCACGAAUCUCGCGUAACAAUUGCGUAUCAAAGAUAAUAAAAUAAACACUUGAGGAAGAUGAUGAUGAUGGAAUGUUCGUAGCUCCAUAUCUUUACUUUUGGUUUUGGAUUUGGAUUGGAUCAGUUUUAAGGACGAUACUGAUGAAGAAGAUGAAGAUCGUGUAUGAAAAACAUGUAAAAUGAAAUGGUUUUUUUGAAAAAAAUAAAAACAGUGAAAAUCGCCAUUAAAUAAUUCUAUGAUUCUUUUAUUUGUUUUAAAUGAAUUUAGAACACAGUUAGUGAAAUUUUGACACGCUACUAAUAAAUAAUCUUAGUCAUUUAUAGAUUAAACAUUUUUCUUUUUUUUAAACAGUGCAAUGAGACCAAAUCCAGUCAUCUGAAGUAAACUUAAUGGGUUUAUGUUUUUCUUAGCCCCCAAAUUUUCACCUACCGUGUAAUUUAGUACAUGUUAAAAAAAUCCAAUUUAGUCAUUUGUAUUAUACGUGACGGUCUUCUACAUAUACGAAGUCGUUUAAGUUUCGUUCCGGUGAAGAUUUCAAUAUGCUUCGCAUGUUCCAAAGUCCUUUGGCCCAUUCUAGCCAGUAUCGGCCCGUAUCAAUUGGUACAAAAUUUUGAUAUUUAAACUUAUCUUUUAAUUUUUUAUCUUAAACAUUUUAACUUUUUAUAACUACGUUUAAAAUUAAAAUAAACUGAAGCUAUUGAACCAAUUAAUAGAUUUAAAACUUAUUUUUACAUAUAGAUAGAUGUCAUUGAAAUAUAUCAAGAAAAUUUUCGGUGCAUUUAGCACAUAAAAUCCUCCAAAAAUAAGGAAAACAGUUAAAUAAUAUAACAUGAAGGAUUCAACAAAAACAACAAAGGAACAUCACAUUAUUCUUGGAUAACGGCAAUAAUUGUAUCAUUACUGAUUAUCAUCAGUUCUUCAUGGCGCAUCUCUCUAUGCAGGUAUUGACGCAGCCGACAACUUCCUUUGAAGCUGACAAAAACAAAACAAAUCAUUAAGUUAAUAUACGUACUUACUUACCAUCAAAUAUUAAUAUAAAACGGAAAAAGAAAAAUUACCAGGCAUCCUCCCUUGGCUGCUUAGCAUUGAACAUGUCAUGGCAGCAC
rnacentral:lncRNA from 1 species